rnacentral:rRNA from 1 species
AGAGUUUGAUCCUGGCUCAGGACGAACGCUGGCGGCAUGCCUCACACAUGCAAGUCGAACGAAGUUUUUUAGAAAGCUUGCUUUCUAAAAAACUUAGUGGCGGACGGGUGAGUAACACGUGGGCAACCUGCCCUACAGAUCGGGAUACCAUCGGGAAACUGAUGUUAAUACCGGAUACGUUCUAAGGAUCGCCUGAUUCUUAGAAGAAAGAUUUUAUCGCUGUAGGAUGGGCCCGCGGUCCAUUAGCUAGUUGGUAGGGUAACGGCCUACCAAGGCGACGAUGGAUAGCUGGUCUGAGAGGACGAUCAGCCACACUGGGACUGAGACACGGCCCAGACUCCUACGGGAGGCAGCAGUGGGGAAUAUUGCGCAAUGGGGGCAACCCUGACGCAGCAAUGCCGCGUGAAGGAUGAAGGCUUUCGGGUCGUAAACUUCUGUCUAGAGGGAUGAAUUUUUGACAGUACCUCUGGAGGAAGCCCCGGCUAACUACGUGCCAGCCGCCGCGGUAAUAC